GAGGACCGGGGCGGACGGGCCUCUGGUGGAGCGGUUGUCGACCAACGGCACCGCCGCCUAGCUACGCCCGGAACGGAUAACCGCUGAAAGCAUCUAAGCGGGAAGCCGGCUCCGAGAUGAGCUCCCUGUUCGGUAAGGGCCCGGGUAGAACACCCGGUCGACAGGCCGCAGCUGCAAGCGCCGCGAGGCGCUCAGGCGAGCGGUGCUGAUAGCCCGAGCUCUUCUUCAC
rnacentral:rRNA from 1 species